rnacentral:rRNA from 1 species
AUUGAACGCUGGCGGCAUGCUUUACACAUGCAAGUCGAACGGUAACAGGUUAAGCUGACGAGUGGCGAACGGGUGAGUAAUGCAUCGGAACGUGCCCGAUCGUGGGGGAUAACGCAGCGAAAGCUGCGCUAAUACCGCAUACGAUCUGAGGAUGAAGCGGGGGACCGUAAGGCCUCGCGCGAUCGGAGCGGCCGAUGUCGGAUUAGGUAGUUGGUGGGGUAAAGGCUCACCAAGCCAACGACCUGUAGCUGGUCUGAGAGGACGACCAGCCACACUGGGACUGAGACACGGCCCAGACUCCUACGGGAGGCAGCAGUGGGGAAUUUUGGACAAUGGGCGAAAGCCUGAUCCAGCAAUGCCGCGUGCAGGAAGAAGGCCUUCGGGUUGUAAACUGCUUUUGUACGGAGCGAAAAGGCUCUCUCUAAUACAGGGGGCUCAUGACGGUACCGUAAGAAUAAGCACCGGCUAACUAGGUGCCAGCAGCCGCCGUAA